AACAGGUUUGGAGAUAACGAAUAAUAAAAUAAAUAAAAUCCAAAAACUUGCCCAAUAUUUAGUUUAAGUAAAUAAUACGGUCAAAAUUUAAACAUAAUAUAGUAAUUAGGACUUUUUUGAGGGAAAAACUAAAUAUUUCGAUAACCACUAAACUCCAAUCAAGCACAACGUGUCGAUGUGGAUUGGUGGCGCGCUUUUACCUGCAGGGGUGAUUCGCUCCUAGAAAAAAAGCCAACAUUCCGAAGAGCAGCGUGGCUAUUCAACGCCACUUACUUAACAGAGGAACCCGAUAACGACUUGAUUGCUAGCAAAGAUGCGUUACAUCACACAGUGAGGCAAGGGGUACACGAAGAUAUUUUGAAGAACCGUUUGUGAGAAGAACAAGCCAAAAUGUCCACUGACAUACAUGCUGAGCUAAUGGAAAAAAUACCGUCCACAUGGAGGUAAGCUGGUAAGUGCUAAACAGUGUCAUGCCACCCCAUAGCGUUUAUUUUAAAUAUUAAAUGCAGCCAAAACUACUUCUGCCUACAUAAUUCCAGAAAUGUAUAUAGGGCUACUUUUCAGAAUGAGAUUGUGUUGAGGUAAC